rnacentral:piRNA from 1 species
UGAUCUGUACUAAGAACAUUGUUUUGCCU